GUGGACGGGGAGUGAGUUACAGCGCUGGGGGCGGCUUUACAGCGCUAUAAUUCGCAAGUGUAGCCAAGGCCUCAGAGUUACUAACUGAUCGGUCAACCACACACCUCAUCGGGAACUGGAAGUGCACAAUCAGGCACCAGAAGAGACCAAAAUAAAAAGCCAAAACAGAACAGUUCUGUGUUAAACAAAGUUCUACAAAAUCAAGGGAAAGUUUAAAAACAGCUUUGACAAGGGAAGGAAACUGUUUCUGUGCUUCUGUCAUUUAAAUGAAGAUUGUUAAACGCAGCAUUUUAAUUCAGGUGAGCUCAGCAAUAGUUCCCAGUGUGACCCUACCCAGCAGUUCCUGCUACACCAGCGAACUCUGAUUCACUUGUGAUCAUUCCCCACUGAACUGAUUUCUCCUUCCCCAGCUGAUGGAGAUAAAACGCAAUUGGCCUCUAGGUCCCCUCGGCCUCUCCUUGCCCUGCCCCCGCCACCCCUCCAUGGGCUCCUUGCAGAUGGAUCCGUGCCAUUGCCCUGCUGAGGGGUGGGGGCCCCUGUGUCUCUUGUGUCACUAGCUCAGCUCUCCCGGUCUUGGAUUCGGGGGAAAAGCAUCCAGGAGACUCUCCCUGCAGUCCCCUGUAUCGGCCUCGUCACUGGGGACAGGCUGUGGGGACGGGGCGCAGUGACUGUGCCGGGAUCUGUAUCUCAUGGCCUGUCUCCUCCUGCCUGCAGAGCCCAGCUACCCCAAACCCAACAUCUCCCUGCACCUCACUGGGGGGGGGGUCGCUCCGGGGGGAGCCGUGACCGUCCGGUGUGAGUGUCGGUGUCGUGGAGUGAGGGUCCUUCUGAGUAAAGCUGGAGACCCGGAUGCACGGUGCAUGACGGACCCCGUGGGGGACGUGGCUGCGUUUCCCAUCCGCAGUGUGAGCCAGGGAGACGCAGGGAACUACAGCUGCCAAUAUAGCACCAAGUGGGACCCGCCUGUCUAGUCAGAGCCCAGUGACCCCGUGGAGCUGGUGGUAGCAGCAGCCCCCCACGCCAACAUCGCCUGCCUGGGGCUGAGCACCGCGGUCCUGCUCAUCCUGGCGUUGAUCCUGGCCGAGGCCUAUUACAGCCGCUCGAGGGGGGCGCCCUAGGAGCCUGGAUCCGGCCGUGCAGAGAAGAGAAUCUCCCCGGGGGACGAGCCGCUUCCCCUCAGGGGGCUGAGACGCUGGCACAAACUCUGCCUGCCGCCAAACACCCCUGUCUUGGAGAAACCACCCCCAGACGGCUCCCGACCUCACAGCUGCAACCCAGAAUUGCAUCUCUGGCCCCACGGGCAUCAGCCCCUCGUGAAGCCAGCUGAAGAUGCUGCUUCUGCGCUGGGCGCGUCGGGCUCCCCACAGAAUAGCCCCUGGAGGGCGCCGGGGUCCCCCUCACUGGUCCAGCCAGGCCGGUCUGUGCCCAGGGCUGUCAGAGGGGAGCAGGGCUGUAGCAGGGCUGGCAUCAGGAGGGCGCCACCUGUGUCUGUGGGGAGCCCGUGUUACCUGCACACAAGGGCACCCCACCUUUUCCCAGUCCCUAGGGCUCCAGGCGAAAAGCACCUACCCGUACCCAAUUCGUAGGGCUCAGACCCACUCCUACCCAAUUCGUAACUAACCUGGUCAAUUAAAGUGCCCACACCCUUUCCCAAUACACAGGGCUCCGGGUGUAUACUGCUUCUGCAGGUGUGCAGGACCUUUUACCAGUGAAUGAGGCUUACACAGUCAUAUCCUACAUAACCUCUAUUUAUUAACAAUCACCAAAACCAGACGGCACUCGCUACACAGACAGUGCUCACCGCUCCCAGUAAGACAGACGAACUUUUCUUGAUGGCCAGUCAGGAUCAGGUCCAUCUGGGGCACUCUAGUUGCUGCCCGGUGUCACUGGCAGAGCGUUGAGGUCCGGCAGCUCUGAUCUCUGGGGCUGUGUCCUGGAAUUGGUUCCUAAAAAACUUCCUUUGGGACCCCAGUUUAUAGAGUGAAAUUUGAGUCCAGUUUAGCUGUCCCUUAAGCAAUCGUUAUACUGAAAUUUUACUAACCAAUCCAAACAUAGUGUUACAAAAUUCUCUAACCAAUCCUACCCCACCACCUUAAUUAAUUUACA